UUAAGUUCAGCGGGUAGUCCUACCUGAUUUGAGAUCAAACGUUCAAGAGCUGUCCUCGCUGAGGAGAGACGUUUGUGAGCCCCAGCGAACCUCCAUCGCUGGAGGUUACCUGGCGGAAAACCACAAGCGUAGAUAGUUAUCACACCUGUGAUGCCACCAGACACUGGCAAGCUGAUUCAUUUGAGAGGAGCCGGCGGUGG
rnacentral:misc_RNA from 1 species